CAAGGAAUUUUCCGCAAUGGGCGCAAGCCUGACGGAGCAACGCCGCGUGCCGGAAGACGGCCUUCGGGUUGUAAACGGCUUUUGCCGGGGAAGAUGAUGACGGUACCCGGCGAAUAAGCCCCGGCUAACUCCGUGCCAGCAGCCGCGGUAAGACGGAGGGGGCAAGCGUUGUCCGGACUCACUGGGCGUAAAGCGUGCGUAGGCGGUCGGGAGCGUCGCGCCUGAAAACGCCGGGCUUAACCCGGCGAGGCGGAGCGAUACGGCUCGACUGGAGGGAGGGAGAGGUACACAGAAUUCCGGGUGUAGUGGUGAAAUGCGUAGAUAUCCGGAGGAAUGUCGGUGGCGAAGGCGGUGUACUGGCCCUGACCUGACGCUGAGGCACGAAGGCGUGGGGAGCAAACCGGAUUAGAUACCCCCGUAGUCC
rnacentral:rRNA from 1 species